rnacentral:rRNA from 1 species
CCUACGGGAGGCAGCAGUGGGGAAUAUUGCACAAUGGGCGAAAGCCUGAUGCAGCAAAGCCGCGUGAGCGAUGAAGGCCUUAGGGUCGUAAAGCCCUGUCCUCAAGGAAGAUAAUGACGGUACUCGAGGAGGAAGCCCCGGCUAACUACGUGCCAGCAGCCGCGGUAAUACGUAGGGGGCUAGCGUUAUCCGGAAUUACUGGGCGUAAAGGGUGCGUAGGUGGAUUCUUAAGUCAGAGGUGAAAUGCUACGGCUCAACCGUAGUAAGCCUUUGAAACUGGGGAUCUUGAGUGUAGGAGAGGAGAGUGGAAUUCGUAGUGUAGCGGUGAAAUGCGUAGAUAUUAGGAAGAACACCAGUUGCGAAGGCGGCUCUCUGGACUGUAACUGACGCUGAGGCACGAAAGCGUGGGGAGCGAACAGGAUUAGAUACCCGUGUAGUC